CCUACGGGAGGCAGCAGUAGGGAAUCUUCCGCAAUGGACGAAAGUCUGACGGAGCAACGCCGCGUGAGUGAAGAAGGUUUUCGGAUCGUAAAACUCUGUUGUGAGGGAAGAACAAGUACCAACCAACUACUGGUACCUUGACGGUACCUCACCAGAAAGCCACGGCUAACUACGUGCCAGCAGCCGCGGUAAUACGUAGGUGGCAAGCGUUGUCCGGAAUUAUUGGGCGUAAAGCGCGCGCAGGCGGUCCUUUAAGUCUGAUGUGAAAGCCCACGGCUCAACCGUGGAGGGUCAUUGGAAACUGGGGGACUUGAGUGCAGAAGAGGAAAGUGGAAUUCCACGUGUAGCGGUGAAAUGCGUAGAGAUGUGGAGGAACACCAGUGGCGAAGGCGACUUUCUGGUCUGUAACUGACGCUGAGGCGCGAAAGCGUGGGGAGCAAACAGGAUUAGAUACCCUGGUAGUCCACGCCGUAAACGAUGAGUGCUAAGUGUUAGGGGGUUUCCGCCCCUUAGUGCUGCAGCUAACGCAUUAAGCACUCCGCCUGGGGAGUACGGCCGCAAGGCUGAAACUCAAAUGAAUUGACGGGG
rnacentral:rRNA from 1 species